rnacentral:rRNA from 1 species
GACGAACGCUGGCGGCGUGCUUAACACAUGCAAGUCUACGAGAAUAAGGUAGCAAUAUCUUUAGUAAAGUGGCGCACGGGUGAGUAACACGUAAGUAACCUACCUUUAGAUUUGGAAUAACCCCGAGAAAUCGGGGCUAAUACCGAAUGAUGCAGCGGCACCACAUGGUGAUGUUGUUAAAGUCUAUAUGACGUCUAAAGAUGGGCUUGCGUCUGAUUAGCUAGUUGGUGAGGUAAUGGCUCACCAAGGCGACGAUCAGUAGCCGACCUGAGAGGGUGAUCGGCCACAUUGGAACUGAGACACGGUCCAGACUCCUACGGGAGGCUG